UGACAGUGAGACAUGAGUCAUUACGAGUCCCCUGGAAAGAUACUACAUGCGUGGUGUAUGUCAUAUUACUGUGGUCUCUGUAAUGAGCUGAUGAGUGACUGUCACGCAACCCGUCAAGAACAUGUCCAGGUGAUGACAUCCAGAGGGAAACCACAUGGGAAGGUGUCUUUCCGUAGCCACUAUUACAGAAUUCCUCGAGUGGAGUGUGGCGGCCCGCAUGGGGGGAACAGACGGUUGCCGUGGUGUCCGGACGGUUUCCAUGGUGGCAGGAGUCGGAGCGAUGACUGCGAGGCGGCCUGUAGAUAAACAGAAAGAAUGACUCAUGGCUAGACGAACACAUCGCCGCUCCUAUAUGGAUCUCUCCUCCAUGGGCACACGAAUCGGCCCUCCUUUCCCAAUGGCAGCUGAUCGUACCCACACCAAACCCAACCCAACCAAACCACGGCCGCUGCUCCGUGCACAAGCACAUGCUAAAAAAAGGAAGUCCUAAGUUCUUUCUCAUCUGCCCAGACAGACAUUAGACAUUAGUUGAGCGGAAUAAAUCGCCCGCCGCAGCCUUGGUUCCUCAUUCGGGAUAGUGGCAGGUUUUUAUUUUGACCAGUUGUCUUUGGCCUGCUCUUGGAUGUCUAAGAACCAUCUAUGGAAACGCAGCCUGGAAAUGUGAAAAGUCACCUUAUGCUGUAAAAAGAAACGACAGUGAUUAUCAGCAGGAAAUUUCCACAAAUGGAGAUGAUGCAACAGGGCAAGAUGGCAUUUCUGAGCAUAAAAAUAACCGAAGGAAAAGACAAAUGAAAGCUCUUUCAAAUCUCAAUUGUUGCUCCUAGAAAAGACUUAAAAUAGGAUCAAUCAAGCAUUAAAAUGAGCUAAAACCUAAAAUCGAGAUAUUUCUUAUUUUAAUUAACCCCUUUUUGUCUUUAAAUAACCAGGAUUCCCACAGUCCUGGAAAACUUGGAUAUGUGAAGUAGCCUGAUUUUAAAAAUGUGACAAGUCAUGCAAAUUAAUACAAGGGAAAAAAUCCAUGGGCAUUUUUAUUAUGAAUAUAGAUCUUUCUACACUCAAAAAAAUUAACUUUCACUGUUGUUAGUUUCACUCAAACCACCCUUGUUCACAUUACUUAAAAAACUCCUGUAACUACAUGAACAUAAUUUAACUGUGUUGUUUCUACUAAAAAUUAGUAUUGUCAGCUUUACUUAAUAAGUGUUUGUUCAGUCAACUUAACAUUGCUGAGUGAAACGCACAAAUUAAUGUUGACAUAACUAACUGGGCAGUGGAUCCGUAGUUCCCAGCAUGCUUUGCAAGGGACAGCAUUAGGAGAGUAAAUUUAUGGAUUAAAGUGUUAUUUUAUGUGUUUUCAGUAAAGGGAAAGAUGUUGUUAGUUUAUGUUAGUGUUUAAUGUUCAGUUAUAUUGGACAUUUAGUGGAGUUUCUGUAAUGUUUUUGAAUUUUGAGGUUACCAUUAUGCAAAAGUGUGGCGCCUGUGUUUAGGCUGUGAACGCUGUAUACACAUGUUUAGGAUGGAAUUUCUGCUCUCAAUUCAAUUGAGUUUUUUCAAUUAGCUAUUUUUUUGAGUGCUUUUUGUAGAGAAAAUAGUUCAUUUAAUAAGGUAAAUUAAGUCAAUAAAUGUGUUCACCUUACGUAAUAAACAUAACAUUAUUAAGUAAACUGCACAUAUAAAUAUUAUGUAACAGAGACAUUCAAAUGAUUUGUAUUUACUCAAAGAAAUUUUGUCAGCUUUACUUGAAAUUCUUUUGUUCAUACAACUAAAUUGUUAUUUGUACAAAUGACUCAAUAUAGUUGCGUGGAACCACUUGACACUUCUUUUUUAAAGUAAAUCCAACAAUUCA